rnacentral:rRNA from 1 species
UACGGAGGGUGCAAGCGUUAUCCGGAUUCACUGGGUUUAAAGGGUGCGUAGGUGGGUUGGUAAGUCAGUGGUGAAAUCUCCGGGCUUAACCCGGAAACUGCCAUUGAUACUAUCUGUCUUGAAUACCGUGGAGGUGAGCGGAAUAUGUCAUGUAGCGGUGAAAUGCUUAGAUAUGACAUAGAACACCAAUUGCGAAGGCAGCUCACUACACGAAUAUUGACACUGAGGCAUGAAAGCGUGGGGAUCAAACAGG